AAGGAAUAUUGGUCAAUGGACGGAAGUCUGAACCAGCCACGCCGCGUGGAGGAAGAAGGUUCUCUGGAUUGUAAACUCCUUUUGCCGAGGGCUAAGAAACGGCUAUAUGCCGUCGUGAAAGUACUCGGUGAAUAAGCCACGGCUAACUACGUGCCAGCAGCCGCGGUAAUACGUAGGUGGCAAGCGUUGUCCGGAUUUACUGGGUUUAAAGGGUGCGUAGGCGGUUCAAUAAGUCAGUCGUUAAAGGCAGCAGCUUAACUGUUGUAAGGCGAUUGAUACUGUAGGACUUGAAUUAUUUCGAGGUUGUCGGAAUACGUAGUGUAGCGGUGAAAUGCUCAGAUAUUACAUAGAACGCCGAUUGCGAAGGCAGAUAACUAGGAAUAGAUUGACGCUGAGGCACGGAAGUGUGGGGAGCGAAC
rnacentral:rRNA from 1 species